AUGUGCUGGAACGUCCGAGGGCUCAACUCGCCGGCCCGACAAGCCGUAGUGUGCGAGACGGCAGAAACACACAAGCUGGCCCUUCUCUGCCUGCAAGAGACUAAGAUCGACAAGUGGAGUAGAUCGUUAGUUAGAGAGGUUGGCGGGUGCAGGCUCGCCGAUUGCGUCGUCCUCCCGACGAUUGGCACUCGUGGUGGCGUCGCGAUCUUCUGGGACAAGAGCCGGGUAGACAUGUAAUCCAGCGCCAUUGGCCGUUUCUCCAUCACGGCCAAAAUCACCCUA
rnacentral:rRNA from 1 species